rnacentral:rRNA from 1 species
CCCAUGGAGCUUUACUGUAGCCUAAUAUUGGGUUUCGAUGUUGCAUGCACAGGAUAGAUGGGACACUGGGAAGCAGGUGCUUUGGCGCUUGUGGAGUGGCCGUUGGGAUACCAUCCUUGCGAUAUUGGAAUUCUAACCUGCGCCUUUGAAUCAAGGCGGGGGACAUUGUUAGGUGGGCAGUUUGACUGGGGCGGUCGCCUCCUAAAGAGUAACGGAGGCGUUCAAAGGUUCGCUCAGCUUGAACGGAAAUCAAGCAAAAGAGUGCAAACGCAGAAGCGAGCCUAACUGCGAGACUGACGGGUCGAGCAGUAACGAAAGUUGGAGUUAGUGAUCCGGUGGUAUGUGAGUGGAAAUGCCAUCGCUCAACGGAUAAAAGUUACCCUGGGGAUAACAGGCUGAUCUCCCCCAAGAGUCCACAUCGACGGGGAGGUUUGGCACCUCGAUGUCGGCUCAUCGCAUCCUGGGGCUGUAUUCGGUCCCAAGGGUUUGGCUGUUCGCCAAUUAAAGCGGUACGCGAGCUGGGUUCAGAACGUCGUGAGACAGUUCGGUCCCUAUCUGUCGUGGGCGCAGGAUAUUUGAAAGGCGCUGUCCCUAGUACGAGAGGACCGGGAUGGACGAACCUCUGGUGCACCAGUUGUCACGCCAGUGGCACAGCUGGGCAGCUAUGUUCGGAUCGGAUAAACGCUGAAAGCAUCUAAGCGUGAAGCCGGCCUUAAGAUAAGAUAUCCCACUGAGACAAUCAGGUAAGACCCCUUGAAGACUACAAGGUUGAUAGGCACAAUGUGUAAGUGGCGUGAGUCAUUGAGCAAGCGUGUACUAAUAGGUCGAGGGCUUGACCC